rnacentral:rRNA from 1 species
UACGUAGGGGGCAAGCGUUGUCCGGAAUUACUGGGCGUAAAGCGCGCGUAGGCGGGUUUGCAAGUCGAUUGUGAAAGCCCUGGGCUUAACCCGGGAUGUGCAGUCGAAACUGUAAAUCUUGAGUGCCUGAGAGGAUGGCGGAAUUCCCGGUGUAGUAGUGAAAUACGUAGAUAUCAGGAGGAACACCGGUGGCGAAGGCGGGACUCUGGGCCGAUACUGACGCUGAGGAGCGAAAGCGUGGGGAGCGAACAGG